UCAACCACUGCGCCACCAGGGAAGCCCUAAAAGUUUUUUUUCUUGUGCCAAGAACUUUUAAGAUAUAAUGUCUUAGCAACUUUCAAAUAUACAGUACAGUAUUAUUAACUCUAAGGAUAUAUAUACCAUUGGUAUAUUUUUCAUAAGUUCCCCAGGUAGCCUGACACAGCACCUGUUGGCAGACCCUGGUUUGGGAAGUUACCUUGCAGCGGCCAGAUCUGAGUUACCCUUUUCCAAAUGCCAUUGUCUCACUUGACUCUUGCCUCACUCUUCUCUCCUUCCGGAAAUUCUCCUUUGGCUUCCAGGGGGCCCCUGUGAUAUGAUAAGCAAAUGAACUAAAGCCUGAAAAACCAUUUUUCGACUCUUUUUGCCUGAGAGAGUGGAGUCCAAGGCAUUAUUUGAGUGGGAGAGGAGAGCAAUGGGAUAAGGACAACUCCGUAUGACAGAUAAAGUAGCGUUACCUCCAUUUCACAUAUUGGAAAAGAGAGGCACAGAGUGACCUGAGAGUGCUAAGACCCCAGAUCUUCAAGCCCUCGUACUGUGACGCUGGAACCACAGCCACAUGGGUUCAUGUGUGUGAAAGUAAAUUGAAAACUGUAAUGUGUUAUUCCAAUAAAAGGUGUUCCUUAGCACUCUAGUAACAUUCCACAAAUACACGUCUAACUGGAUCGACUCAUCCACCAAGAUGCUGGUCCCAGGAUCAGCUUGUGUUGUGUUUCUCUCCUUGUGUUGUGGUAAAACUAUUACCAGGAAAAGCUACUAAUUAAUAUUAGUGAUGAUGUGCGUAUGAAUGAGCAAUAAAGGAAACCCUAGCAACCCAGAUGGAAGGAAAUGAUCACACUAAAGUUGUUUCAUUGUUUAGAGUCUUCUGCAGAAAGUAACUGAGAAAAUCUUAAAUGUUUCUUUUGAACUACUUUAAAGAACUAAAAUGACCAUUUCAAUUAUUUGUUAUUUAUCCUCAUACUUUCCACAUUCUUCUACAAGUUCCUAUGACCAAUUCUAGGAGGUUCAAAGGCAGCUAAAGGACCAGGAUAAUGAUAAGACCAGAAUUCAAUCUUCUGUUCUUAAAAUCAAUGUUUAUUUUGGGUUUUUCAAAUGAGUCUGUUUUUUUUUCUCUAGAAAGACACAAUAGUUUCCUUUCAUCUGUCUCUUAACAGUAGGUCACACCCUACAGUUCUUUUAUCAUCUGUUGUGAAUUUCACUAACUCUAGUUAUUUCUUUGUCAUUGAUGUUACAUUUAAGUGAAAGGAUUUUCAGCAGGGCUUUAAAUUGGGUGAGGUCUCAAGGUCAAAUGUCUUUGGCAAAGCCUGCCCUAGGAAAUAGCUUUUCAGUUAAAGCAGUAGAGAAAGGAAUAUUAGGGUUUCUUUUUUAUUGUUAUAAUCCCUGCUCUGCAAAUAGAUGAUGAAAAAUACACAUUAACACCAUCCUAUCUAAACUGAAAUGUCUUUAUUCACAUUCAUUUCCUUGCCUUUUUUGUGGGGAGAGGGCUCCUUUCCUAUUUUGAAUAUGUAUGUAUUCAUAAAAACUACCAUUUGUGGUGUGCCUACUAUAUGCUAAAGAUUAUACCAAGCAUUUAAAAUAUAUUAUCUUGGAAAUUCCCUGGCGGUUCAGUGAUUAGGACUCCAUGCUUUCACUGCCGAGGGCACGGGUUCAAUCCCUGGUUGGGGACCUAAUAUCCCACAAGCCGCGUGGCACGGCAAAAAAAUAAAUAAAUAAAUAAAAGAUAUCAUCUUAAAUCCCCUUUGGUGCUAUCAACAAUAUUAUCAACACUCUGCA